rnacentral:rRNA from 1 species
GUGCCAGCCGCCGCGGUAAUACAGAGGGUGCGAGCGUUGUCCGGAAUCACUGGGCGUAAAGGGCGCGUAGGUGGCUGGGUAAGUGUGCGGUGAAAGCCCGGGGCUCAACCCCGGGUCGGCCGUGCAGACUGCUUGGCUUGAGCAUAGUAGAGGCAGGUGGAAUUCCGGGUGUAGCGGUGGAAUGCGUAGAGAUCCGGAAGAACACCGGUGGCGAAGGCGGCCUGCUGGGCUAUUGCUGACACUGAGGCGCGACAGCGUGGGGAGCAAACAGGAUUAGAUACCCGUGUAGUCC